CAGGCACGGAUCAGCUGGGUAAGAGCACGCACUUGGACUGCGUGAGGCGUGGUUCGAUUCCACGGUGCCUGACCA
rnacentral:tRNA from 1 species